rnacentral:lncRNA from 1 species
UGAAUUUGGUAUGCAUUAGCUGUCUUUUGGCGAUCACCUAAAAAAUGCUUUAUAGAAGGCUCUGUCUCCAACAUAAAGCAGAGCAUACAUAAUGUUUAAACAGUAAGUCUUAGAUCAAACAAUUUUAAGUGUUGAUUAUCUUGCAUGCAAGUGCCUUCAACAAAUCAACAUAGCUCCAUCUGUCAAGUUUUAAAUUCAAUUAAGCCAAGGUCUGAGAGAAAGGUAUGCUUUUUGUGCAGCUAGUGCUCGUUCAAUUAAGUCCAAUGACAACCAGUUUAAUGGGAACCGGAAUGAAAUUCUAAUACAACUGCGUAUUUUCUUCCUUCCGUUCCACUCAUUUCUUCACAGUUUUCUUUUAUGUGUUUAAUUUUACAACUUAUUUUCAGAAAAAGAAAAAGAAAAUUAGACUAAUUUAUGUAGGAGACCGUGUCAAUCUCUCUGUCCCGACAAGAGGUGAUAUGUGAUGUGUUGAUGGUUCCAUUUCAUAUUCUAGACAAACAACUUUUGAUCUAGUCUUAUCUUUUAAGAAUCUGUCAAGGGCUGUGUGGAGAGAAUAGAAGAUAAACCUGUUCUGAUAAACCUCGUCUUGAAAACUUCACACAGCUAUGAAAUGUCAUUUCUUCUUGGUCUGCUCUGUUUUGUCUUCACCAGGGCUGCCAAUGUCUCACACAUCUAGAACCAGACUUGGUUUUCCUUAGAUAUAAGUAUACUAUAACACAACCCAAGUGUCAUUUUCUGGGAUAUGAAUAUCCAGACUCAAUGUAUUUCUCUCCACAGAAAACAACUCUGACAAGUUCAUAAUUUGACAUAACAUGAAAUCAUGCAUAUAAUUCCACUGAUUUACAAACACUGUGUGACAAAAUAAACCUUUUUUUGUCCUAAAACAUUAACUCCGAGGUCCUUUCAAACAAGCCACCUGACAAAAAUGCUUAUUCAUAGUGAACUCAUGCUGAAGCAAUUUAACAAGUCUAUACAUGCAACUAACACACAAGUAUUAGUAAGUCCUUCGUAAUUCAAGCGUUCUUGAUUUAGCAGUUGAGUUUCUGCUCCACAGUACUUGUUGUUGGUGGUACGGGUACCUGCAUGAUAUGAUAAUGAUUAAUGGUAAUGUUCUUCAUGGUAUUGGAGUUAUAUGCUAAUGUUUAGUGCAUAGUUGAUAAAUCUGCAGGAUACGAAACUAAAGCAUACAGGCAGCUGAAGGAUGACUUGAAUAUCUGAAUUGAUAUUGCCCAAUUUCAAGAACACGAAAGCUAACUGUUUUAUGUAAAAAUCUUCGUUAUCAUAGUCUUGACACUAAGAUCAAUCUGAAGGGUGAAAAGAAGAAAUCAUUUAUAUAAUUACCCCGACUGAAGUCACAAAAUGGCAAACUGCACAUCUAACAGACUGCGCGCCAUACUGAUACAUCAACAACAUUUGACAGCUUCCACAAUUGACCUGUGCUACUUGAUUAGCUGCACGCACAAAUUACAUUGUAUGAGUUUAUGAGCAUACUGCAUAUAUUCAUAUCUUGGUUUUUAAUGGAAGGGAAAGAUUUCUACCCUCCAUAGCUAAGUUGACAGUGUGACAGCAUGUACAUUUUACACUGGUUGCGCCGCGAAUGUACAUUAGUAACGUGUGGCAACCUCUACAGACCAAUUGAGCAUUUUCUGUGCCUGUGCAAUAGACAAUUUUUACCUUAAAAAUGAAUAACUUUCUGAGCUAGACAUUACAAUAUAUAUAACUAAGACCCCUAAUUCCGAGUGGGAUACACUGAGUUGUUCUGCUGAAUACCGCACUACAGAGCCUUCUAUUUACAUGUACCGCACUACAGAGCCUUCUAUUUACAUGUAUUGCCGUUCAUAUCUUUACCAAUAUAAGAAAAUGCAAGAGAGAUUUAAAAUAGCUUGAAGCCUAACAGAUGUGCCAAAUUGUAUACACAUACCUGGAGGUGGCACAGCUGUGACUGCAUUACAAACAGCACAACAUACUGAGGUUGCCCCAAGUGGAUAGAGUAAUAGGUUUCGACAUCCAGAGCAAACAAGCUGGCUCUGAGAACCUGAUUACAGAUUACAAUUACAUAGUUAGAAUUUUGAUAUAUCCGAUUUAUUAAGAAUAAUUGUUUUGAACAAAGAAGCAUCUCUGUGGCCAAAAUUUUCAGUACGUUUUUCGAAGUUAGUUGCAAACAUUCAAAAUGUCCGGCCAGACCAAAACCAAACAUAUUCGGCAUGUCCUCAAAGUUGGUCCAUUCAUCAAACGUAUUCAGUAUAUCCCACUGGUAAGAAAGGUUAUAUGUCUCACUCGAAAGUAGGGUUUUUCAUUAAAUAAACAUACUUAGUAUGUCCCCCUUGAAAGUAGGGUCUUGAACAUAAACUAAGAAACUAGAGGUGACCCUGCUGCUGGAAGUUGUGAUUAAACUAAUUCCCAGAUUUAUUAAAAUAAUACUUGUCCUGCAAAUUAUGAUAUUACUAUAGUAGUAUCUGUGAUUUUCUGAUUCUUAUAUGAGACAGCUCUCUACAGAGAACUAUAAUCUAAACUUAUCAAAUCUAAGGAGCCAGGAAAUACCAUUUGCAGGUGGUGCAUGAGCGUGUUUAAUUAUAAAAGACGAAAGAAAGUUAAAAGUGAUGAGUGAAAUACCAUUUGCAGGUGGUGUGUAGGGCGCCGGAGGCAAAGGGUAGGGAGCAAGAGGGAUUGGCAUGAUGAAGCUGAUACACACAGAGAGCAAAUGCAAGUAAAUUGCUUUAC